UAAAAGAUGCAAGUACAAAGUGUCAAUAUAUCUUUCUAAUUUAGGAGAUGGCAGUUGAAAGGUGAUGGCUGCAGUUCCCUAGUGGUCUAGGAUUCUAAGCAUUACUUAGCCUUUCCUUGACUCUGCGUGUGUCUGACCAGGUUCCAAGUCUGGCCCAUUCCCAACCAACUUUACCUGUAGGGUGAAACGCUAACAUUUGCUGAGCACAUAUCAGUGCAGGGCAGAGGCUUAUGAUGCGCGUCCAUGGAUCUUGUGCUCUGCUGAUUUUAAAUACAGAUAGUCUCAGGCCCCCAUAACUUUAUUAUUGAUUAUUUCUUUGCAUUCAUUUAUUCACGCUGCUUCCAUAACAUGCCAGGAACUAUGCUAGGCACCAUGGGGGCAUCCAGUCUCCCUGAAAUUAACCUUGCUUUCUCCUAUUUGAUGGGCAUUUCUUGCAGGCAGAAUCAGGUUUUAAACCUCUUCUGAGUUCUCCACGGUACUUUGCAUGGCUCUGGCCAUAGCCAGGAACUUCUCAGGAAAUUGUGUUGAAAUCUCUC
rnacentral:lncRNA from 10 species